rnacentral:lncRNA from 1 species
AUAUAUAUCGUGAGUCGACCUUCCCAGAUUUAUGGAGAUGCGCGUAUGGAGAUCGAAGAGCCAGAAAAUGGGCCCUAAAAGUCUACAUGUUUGAAUCUAAAUCAAAGUUAUAGUGGUACACAAACACAAGAGUACAAAAAAUAAAAAUAAAUAGCAGUUUGAGGAUUUUCAAAUAUAUUGAGUAUAAACUUUUCUAAACAUCUUUCUCUAGCUAAUAGCUUACAUUUUUAGGAUAAUUAAUCAGUUGUUUUAUACGUACGACAUCAAUAGUGGGAGGUCUAAUUUUGAAUAUCAACACUAGCUAGAUAUUUGAACAAAAAUUACGCGG